AUUGAACGCUGGCGGCAGGCCUAACACAUGCAAGUCGAGCGGAUGAAGGGAGCUUGCUCCUGGAUUCAGCGGCGGGCGGGUGAGUAAUGCCUAGGAAUCUGCCUGGUAGUGGGGGAUAACGUCCGGAAACGGGCGCUAAUACCGCAUACGUCCUGAGGGAGAAAGUGGGGGAUCUUCGGACCUCACGCUAUCAGAUGAGCCUAGGUCGGAUUAGCUAGUUGGUGGGGUAAAGGCCUACCAAGGCGACGAUCCGUAACUGGUCUGAGAGGAUGAUCAGUCACACUGGAACUGAGACACGGUCCAGACUCCUACGGGAGGCAGCAGUGGGGAAUAUUGGACAAAGGGCGAAAGCCUGAUCCAGCCAUGCCGCGUGUGUGAAGAAGGUCUUCGGAUUGUAAAGCACUUUAAGUUGGGAGGAAGGGCAGUAAGUUAAUACCUUGCUGUUUUGACGUUACCAACAGAAUAAGCACCGGCUAACUUCGUG
rnacentral:rRNA from 1 species